rnacentral:ribozyme from 1 species
UGCUUCCUUUCUUUACUAACGCUUUCGAUUACAAAUGAAGUGAUCAAAUACAGGAGUGACGGAGAUAUAUCCAUGCUAUUCCCUCCAUUUGGUGCGUUAGUGACGUGUCAUUAUGGGUUGACAAGCGCCCCUGCGUCACAACCCCGGAACUCAUUUGUAGGUAUUCUAAUCACUUCUACUAUGGCUACAAUUAGUGCAUAUAUUCCUGUCUCAAUUUUACCUCUAUGGGUGCGAAUUCCGGUGGUAACUUCGAUUGCAAUUGCGACUACUCUUGCU